rnacentral:piRNA from 1 species
UGCCCAACUUCUGUCUACUGUCGGACUC